CGAGUAAGCCAGACAAUCGCUGCUACUGUAUUGCUUGCAAUACUUUAGAAGAGGAAAGUCCGAGCUCCACAGGGCAGGGUGCUGGGUAACCCCCAGUGAAGGCGACUUUAAGGAAAGUGCAACAGAGAGAUACCGCUAAAGGUAUUCUAAAAGUUUAGUUUACUAAAAUUUUAGAAUAUACUAGCAAGGAUGGAAAGGCGAGGUAAGAGCUCACCAGCGCACUGGCGACUUUGCGGCUAUGUAAACCCCACUUGGAGCAAGAUCGAAUAGGAGAACAUUUUGGGGCGGCCCGUCUCGUUCUCGGGUGUAUCGCUUGAGCUUAUUGGUAACAGUAGGCCUAGAUAGAUGAUUGUCUAAUACAGGACUCGGCUUAUAGACUUAGUCGCACU
rnacentral:RNase_P_RNA from 1 species